rnacentral:rRNA from 1 species
AGAGUUUGAUCCUGGCUCAGGAUGAACGCUGGCGGCGUGCUUAACACAUGCAAGUCGAACGAAGCACUUUAUUUGAUUUCUUCGGAAUGAAGAUUUUGUGACUGAGUGGCGGACGGGUGAGUAACGCGUGGGUAACCUGCCUCAUACAGGGGGAUAACAGUUGGAAACCACUGCUAAUACCGCAUAAGCGCACAGGGUCGCAUGACCUGGUGAGAAAAACUCCGGGGGUAUGAGAUGGACCCGCGUCUGAUUAGCCAGUUGGUGGGGUAACGGCCUACCAAAGCAACGAUCAGUAGCCGACCUGAGAGGGUGACCGGCCACAUUGGGACUGAAACACGGCCCACACUCCUACGGGAGGCAGCAGUGGGGAAUAUUGCACAAUGGAGGGAAACCCUGAUGCAGCGACGCCGCUUGAGCGAAGAAGUAUUUCUGUAUGUAAAGCUCUAUCACCAGGGAAGAAGAAAUGACGGUACCUGACUAAGAAGCACCGUCUAAAUACUUGCCAGCAGCCGCGGUAAUACGUAUGGUGCAAGCGUUAUCCGGAUUUACUGGGUGUAAAGGGAGCGCAGGCGGUACGGCAAGUCUGAUGUGAAAGCCCGGGGCUCAUCCCCGGUACUGCAUUGUAAACUGUCGGACUAGAGUGUCGGAGGGGUAAGUGGAAUUCUUAGUGUAGCGGUGAAAUGAGUAGAUAUUAUGAGGAACACCAGUGGUGAAGGCGGCUUAUUGGCCGGUAAUUUACGUUGAGGCUGCAAAGCGUGGGGAGCAACCAGCAUUAGAUACCCCGGUAGUCCUCCCCGCAAACGAUGAAUACUAGGUGUCGGGUGGCAGAGCCAUUCGGUGCCGUCGCAAACGCAGUAAGUAAUCCACGUGGGGAGUACGACCGCAAGGUUGAAACUCAAGGGAAUUGACGGGGGCCCGCACAAGCAGUGGAGUAUGUGGUUUAAUUUGACGCAACGCGCAGAACCUUACCAAGUCUUGACAUCCUGCGUACGAUGCUGGAAACAGUAUUUUCCUUCGGGACGCAGAGACAGGUGGUGCAUGGUUGUCGUCAGCUCGUGUCGUGAGAUGUUGGGUUAAGUCCCGCAACGAGCGCAACCCUUACUGUCAGUUACUACGCAAGAGGACUUUGGCAGGACUGCCGUUGACAAAACGGAGGAAGGUGGGGAUGACGUCAAAUCAUCAUGCCCCUUAUGAUUUGGGCUACACACGUAGUACAAUGGCGUUAAACAAAGAGAAGCAAGCCCGCGAGGUGGAGCAAAACUCAGAAACAACGUCCCAGUUCGGACUGCAGGCUGCAACUCCCUUGCAGGAAGUCGGAAUUGUUAGUAAUCGUGGAUCAGCAUGCCACGGUGAAUACGUUCCCGGGCCUUGCACUCACCGCCCGUCA